rfam:Brachypodium distachyon strain Bd21 chromosome 1, whole genome shotgun sequence.
GUAGUGCUUCCUCCGUUCAACAAAAAAUGUCUCAAAUUUAUUAAAAUUUGGAUGUAUCUAGAUAUGACUUAGUGUGUAGAUGCAUUCAAAUUUAGUCAAAAUGAAGACAUCCUUUGUUGGACGGAGGGAGUACAGU